rnacentral:rRNA from 1 species
GACGAACGCUGGCGGCGUGCUUAACACAUGCAAGUCGAACGGAAAGGCCCUGCUUUUGUGGGGUGCUCGAGUGGCGAACGGGUGAGUAACACGUGAGUAACCUGCCCUUGACUUUGGGAUAACUUCAGGAAACUGGGGCUAAUACCGGAUAGGAGCUCCUGCUGCGUGGUGGGGGUUGGAAAGUUUCGGCGGUUGGGGAUGGACUCGAGGCUUAUCAGCUUGUUGGUGGGGUAGUGGCUUACAAAGGCUUUGACGGGUAGCCGGCCUGAGAGGGUGACCGGCCACAUUGGGACUGAGAUACGGCCCAGACUCCUACGGGAGGCAGCAGUGGGGAAUAUUGCACAGUGGGCGGAAGCCUGAUGCAGCAACGCCGCGUGCGGGAUGACGGCCUUCGGGUUGUAAACCGCUUUCGCCUGUGACGAAGCGUGAGUGACGGUAAUGGGUAAAGAAGCACCGGCUAACUACGUG